rnacentral:lncRNA from 1 species
ACAAAGAGCUAGUUAAUGUGAUAGGUGGGUCCUCAACAGGAUGUCAGUCCUUUAAGAAAGGAAAGAAGAAGAAGGUGCAGAAGAAAAAUCAUACUGGGGCUUCUAAGCUCUAUCAGAUCAAAAAGUUCAAAGUAGACUAGAGUCAGAUAGAAUACUUCUUUUGUAAGAAGCUAGGGUACUGGAAGAUGAAUUAUCCUCAAUAUCUUGCUUCAUUUGACCCCAAC